GNUUCGAGUGAGACUCUGGGUCACCUCCCACCCGUGUCUAUCGUACCUUGUUGCUUCGGCGGGCCCGCCGUUUCGACGGCCGCCGGGGAGGCCUUGCGCCCCCGGGCCCGCGCCCGCCGAAGACCCCAACAUGAACGCUGUUCUGAAAGUAUGCAGUCUGAGUUGAUUAUCGUAAUCAGUUAAAACUUUCAACAACGGAUCUCUUGGUUCCGGCAUCGAUGAAGAACGCAGCGAAAUGCGAUAAGUAAUGUGAAUUGCAGAAUUCAGUGAAUCAUCGAGUCUUUGAACGCACAUUGCGCCCCCUGGUAUUCCGGGGGGCAUGCCUGUCCGAGCGUCAUUGCUGCCCUCAAGCACGGCUUGUGUGUUGGGCCCCCGUCCCCCUCUCCCGGGGGACGGGCCCGAAAGGCAGCGGCGGCACCGCGUCCGGUCCUCGAGCGUAUGGGGCUUUGUCACCUGCUCUGUAGGCCCGGCCGGCGCCAGCCGACACCCAACUUUAUUUUUCUAAGGUUGACCUCGGAUCAGGUAGGGAUACCCGCUGAACUUAAGCAUAUCAAUAAGCGGAGGAA
rnacentral:rRNA from 1 species